AUACGUUUAUUCUGCCUCCCGUGUUUGUCUUUCCGUAGUAUGCUAUUUUGAACGUGACAUGCAGGGACCUGUCAAUCAACUGAGGUAUCCAAUCAGGUUCCAGAGGUGGCCAGCGCUACCAGGGCAUCACUGUAGCUCCGCCCCUUUAUAAAUUUUCAUAAAAUAUUACUUCAUGAAAAUUCUUUUUAGGAAAUUUCAGCCAAAUGAAGGCAAAUAAUUACAAAAGUAAAGCAAUUUCAAAUGUGAAAACUGUUUGGUGAGUUAGUGAGUAUGUGAGUAUUGGUUGUGACUGUGUGACAGGCAUAAUAACUGGCAAGAAAAAAAAUCAGAUAAAAGUGGGCACCAUGAGUGAUCGGAGGACGACGAGAGAGGUCUAUAAAUACGGCUGGAGUUCUUCGUUGAUAUUGUAGGAGCUAAUGCCACUGAGCGUGCUCCCGCUUCAUAGCUGGUCGAACCAUGCUGUUGAGCAUGGGUCCCGCUAACUUCAAUGCAUGUCAGCCCGCUUACAGGACAGGCAUUCCCGGCCAUGAGUGACGGUAGAGACCCGGCUCCCUGCUCAUAGGCCGGGGAAAGCCACAAUACAAGCCGGCUGCCAAUGCAUGAUAAUGAAGCGGUAGAGCUCCGGUGGGGUUAGUUCCUACUUUUGCAACUAAAGAGGUAGUAGUAGUUGGUUAUUAAGUUUUGUAUUUCAUAUCAAUGUGAAAAAUUUAAUGAGUAAAUAAAUAUAUAUUUUUUUUAUUUUACUCUCUCAUUCUGACCGUGUAAUAAUGCUAAACCAUUUAUCUAAGGAGUCACCUCAUGUGUAAACGGUUCAAAGGGGAAAAUAUUUUUUUGGGGGGGGGGACAUUAGAAAAAAAGUGAUGAAAUCAGAGCCUGCAUGCCUUCUAAAUGUGGCAGGUUGAUAUAACAUAGUUAGAUUGUGUUCUUUAAUAGUGGUGUCACUGAGUCCUUGUUUUGUCAUUUGCCAGUUCCUCAUGAUGUGACCCUGCCUGCAUUUGGGGUGUCGUGUCACGUGAGCACUGACUGAGCUGAUGUGUUUACUUGCAUACUUGACCAUGAUUGGCUUCCAACAGUUGUGAUGUCGUGGCUGAGGUCACCGUGAUCGUACAGGUGUGUUGUUUUUAUUCUUGUACCUGUACAGUAUGUAAUGAGUUUGAAGAAUCACUGGAAAAUCCUGACUAUCAACUUAGUUGGGCAUUGGCAAUGUCCUCUAGCAACGCCAAAGCAGCUGCUGUAUCAUGUGGCACAGUCAUCACGCAAUGCAUAAAAGUAGGCAAUUAUUGAUGUAUGGUUCAUUCAUGAGUGUGAUUUAUAACUAAAUCACUUUUAAAAGAUACCAGCAUGAAUGCAAGUCCUGCAACCAAGUGUCCCUCACUUGAACUCAAAGAUAGGCUUAGAAAAAAAAACCUCUUUCAGUCUGACACAAUCUCUGAAUCAAAAUUAUUUGGUAAUUUUUUUCUCUCUCUCUCUCACCAUAGUUAUGUGAAAAAGGAAGGACGUCAUCUUCAUCAAAACAAGAUGAGAACGUUAUCGUUGUCCCUUUUCUUCUGUCACGUUUCAUCACCAGGCUGCACUACAGCAUCUAUUGACAGGCGCGAUCCCACUACUGAGCGGCACGGGGGCUUUGACCUGCUCCGUCUCCGACCUGGGCCGGUGCACCCCUCCUUAGACGACCUGGUGGUCCCGGGCUCCCCCAGGAGCACCAUAUCGAUCCCGAACUUAGUGCGGACACCCGAUCGACAUAGUCCGCUGCAGCUCAGAGGUCCUGAGCUCAAACGAUCCUCCAGCCUCAGCCUCCCGGGAGCUUGGAUUACAGGCGCGCGCCACCGCACCCGGCCAGGAAACUCUGCGUCAUAGAGGGUCUGCAC